rnacentral:rRNA from 1 species
GAUGAACGCUGGCGGCGUGCCUAAUACAUGCAAGUCGAGCGAACAGACGAGGAGCUUGCUCCUCUGACGUUAGCGGCGGACGGGUGAGUAACACGUGGAUAACCUACCUAUAAGACUGGGAUAACUUCGGGAAACCGGAGCUAAUACCGGAUAAUAUAUUGAACCGCAUGGUUCAAUAGUGAAAGACGGUUUUGCUGUUACUUAUAGAUGGAUCCGCGCCGCAUUAGCUAGUUGGUAAGGUAACGGCUUACCAAGGCAACGAUGCGUAGCCGACCUGAGAGGGUGAUCGGCCACACUGGAACUGAGACACGGUCCAGACUUCUACGGGAGGCAGCAGUAGGGAAUCUUCCGCAAUGGGCGAAAGCCUGACGGAGCAACGCCGCGUGAGUGAUGAAGGUCUUCGGAUCGUAAAACUCUGUUAUUAGGGAAGAACAAAUGUGUAAGUAACUAUGCACGUCUUGACGGUACCUAAUCAGAAAGCCACGGCUAACUACGUG